GCUAUGACUACCAAAAUCACAUUAAUAUUCCGCUAUUGUCCUCUACAACAUAUAUUCUGGGACAACUACUACAAACAGCUAAAAGCACAAGCAAGGCUUCAGAAGCCCCGUGAUUACUAAGUACAAGUAUACAACAUAUUUUAGAUGAUAGUAGCGCCAUCUACCUUGACCUCUUGCUUCGAAAUAUAGUCUGAAGUUACGUGUGCAAUCAAGGCAAUUCCAAGAACUAGUGGAACUUUAUACUUUGAAAGAGCUAUCUAUGCUUUGGAUCACUUUGGCUUUGAGUCACUUCCCUUGCUUCUGAAUGUCGACAAGGAGAAGAAUGAUCUUGGAGCUUUUAUUGAGCUCCCUGAUAACUGAUCCUCACGCAAUUUGAAGUUAGCUGGUGGUGCUGGAAUUGAACUGCGCAAGGCUUGAACUUGUUCACUGAAAUACUCAUUCUCAUAAAAGCUAUCAUCAGAUUGAUGAUCCUGAGAGAAACCCAUUCUUGACUUUCUUAAAUCAUCUGAAGAUCGAUUAGAAGGGUCACGUCCAUCUUCUGUAUCAUCAUCUCCUUCAGAAGUGGUAGCAGAAAUCCAGUCAACCAAAGUAUCUGUGCCGCGAUUUUUCCUCCCAAAUUUCAGAAACCGUUUAAAUCCUCUGGCCAUAUCUUUGCGUGAUUGAUUAUGAGAAGAAUUUGCCACAAGCAUAGGUUUCUGAGC
rnacentral:misc_RNA from 1 species